rnacentral:rRNA from 1 species
GAUGAACGCUGGCGGCGUGCCUAAUACAUGCAAGUCGAGCGAACAGACGAGGAGCUUGCUCCUCUGACGUUAGCGGCGGACGGGUGAGUAACACGUGGAUAACCUACCUAUAAGACUGGGAUAACUUCGGGAAACCGGAGCUAAUACCGGAUAAUAUAUUGAACCGCAUGGUUCAAUAGUGAAAGACGGUUUUGCUGUCACUUAUAGAUGGAUCCGCGCCGCAUUAGCUAGUUGGUAAGGUAACGGCUUACCAAGGCAACGAUGCGUAGCCGACCUGAGAGGGUGAUAGGCCACACUGGAACUGAGACGCGGUCCAGACUCCUACGGGAGGCAGCAGUAGGGAAUCUUCCGCAGUGGGCGAAAGCCUGACGGAGCAACGCCGCGUGAGUGAUGAAGGUCUUCGGAUCGUAAAACUCUGUUAUUAGGGAAGAACAAAUGUGUAAGUAACUAUGCACGUCUUGACGGUACCGAAUCAGAAAGCAACGGCUAACUACGUG